GUUUUUUAAAAUCCUUGAGGAAUCAGCAUUUACUAAUUAAAAAUUAACUAUCACAUAAUUUUCAGAUGUCUUGUCAAAACGGUCACAGUGAACCCAUAAAUAUUCAAACGAAUGGUAAUGGUAGUAGCGCACACACGAAUAUAGAUGAAACCGAUAAAAGUGGACUUUCUAUGAAUGUGAGAUUAACAACAACCUCGUCUAUAGAUCACCCACCAGUACCACCAUCUCCAACAAAAAGUUCUUCACUUAAACGUAAUACAAGUCACGGAAAUCUAAUGCCGGCCGAAACUAAAGAAACCCGAGUUAAGGUUAUCUAUACGGGAGGCACUAUAGGAAUGGUGAGAAAUGAAAGAAAUGUUUUAGCUCCUAUACCCAAUGCUUUGGUUAAACGUAUACGCAAAUAUCCCAAUAUGCAUGAUGAAGAAUAUGCUCAGAAGAGAUUUGGCCAGUCGGCCUCUAUGGCCCCCUUAGUUUUACCCUAUGUGAAGGGUGAAAGUAAUCGUGUUAUUUAUCAAAUAACGGAAUAUAUACCUCUAUUGGAUUCUAGCAACAUGACCAUGUAUGAUUGGGCUAGAAUAGCCAAUGACAUUUAUCAAUCUUAUGAAUUCUUUGAUGGCUUUGUGGUUUUACAUGGCACCGAUACUUUAUCCUAUACUGCAUCAGCCUUAUCAUUCAUGUUAGAGAAUCUCGGCAAAACUGUGAUAAUAACCGGUUCUCAAAUACCCAUUUUUGAGACACGCACUGAUGGCAAAGAUAACUUUACCUCGGCUUUAAUAAUUGCUGGCAAUUAUGUUAUACCCGAGGUUUGUGUUUUCUUUGGGAAUAAACUGAUGCGCGGCAAUCGUACUGUUAAAGUAAGCUCCUGUUCUUUGGAUGCUUUCGAUUCGCCUAAUGUUCCUGCUUUAGCUCAUAUUGGCAUUAAUGUGGAUGUUGAUUAUAGAUUAAUCUUUAGACCCUGUAAGAUUUCGAAAUUUUUUGUACAUUCUGAAUUAGAUGAAAAUGUGGGCAUUUUGCGCAUAUUUCCUAGUAUUUCUACCUCAACAUUUAGAGCAUUUUUGGCUCCACCCAUGAAGGGUGUUGUUUUGCAGUCAUUUGGUUCUGGUAAUGUACCAGAUAAUCGUAAAGAUUUGCUUAAGGAAUUAAAGGAUGCCUCCGAAAGGGGAGUGAUUAUAGUAAAUUGCACUCAAUGUCCUAACGGUUCGGUGUCGGAAAUCUAUGAGACAGGAAAAGUAUUAUUUGACCUAGGUGUUUUGCCCGGCUUCGAUAUGACCCCCGAGGCGGCCUUAACUAAAUUGUCCUAUGUAUUGGGUAAAAGUGAAUGGCCUUUGGAUAUAAAGAAACAGAUGAUGCAAUCAAAUCUAAGAGGAGAACUGACUUCUACUUCAGGACCUAAAAUGGAAGAAUACGAUCUAGUGGAUGCGGUGGCCAGAUCUUUGCAUUUAUCUUCACCCCAAGAACUAAGCCAACUGGGCGCUACUCUAUUUCCUGCUAUGAUGAACGCAGCUGUUGUAGCCGGAGACUUACAAAAGAUCAAUAACCUAAAAGCUUAUGGCGCUGACCUUUCGGGAGUGAAUCAAGAUCAUCGUACUGCUUUACAUUUGGCCUGUAUCGAAGGCAAUAUUUCAGUGGUUAAACAUUUGCUAUUAAAUGGUGUCUCUGUACACAUAAGAGAUCGCUAUGAACGCACCCCUCUGAUAGAGGCAAUUACCAAUGAUAAUCAUGAUAUUAUACAAAUGCUCAUUAACUGUGGUGCUCAUUUAACCGGUUCAUCUAGAGCAGUGGGUGAACAACUAUGCGCCGCAGCCGCCAGAGGUUCUCUAACUCGCAUCAAAUCUUAUCAAUUGGCCGGAGCCGACCUAUCACAACCAGACCCUUCCGGCCGCACACCCCUUCAUGUGGCUGCAUUGCAUGGCCAUGAGGAAAUUGUGCAAUAUUUACUUCAAUAUAUGGAUACAACAAAUGAAACUGAUAUGUUAGGACUCACCGCUUUGGAUUAUGCUUUGAAGGCUGACCAGCAAGAUGUUGCUGUGAUGCUGAAUAAAUUUGCUACACAAUGAGUUGUAAAAUUUGCAGGACAAACAAAAACAUAAAAUAACACUAUUAAGUAAAUACUUUUACACACACACACAUAUGUUAUACAAAAACACAAACUUUUAAACAAGCACUUUUUCCCGUCACUCUCUUUUGCUCUAGAAAAAAAACUACUAUUGAUAACGGUAACUAAAUACAUAGUUGCAUUUCUUAGAGAAGGUAAAAUGUUGUAAUCGAAAUGGAGCAGGGAAAAUCGGUUAAGUGUGAUAUUUAUUUUUGAAUAAGUGUUUAAAUUUAAAUAAUUUCAUGUUAAUAUUUAAUAAAUAAAAUUUAUUAAUGUUAAAAAAAAAA
rnacentral:misc_RNA from 1 species